CCUACGGGAGACAGCAGUGAGGAAUAUUGGUCAAUGGACGAGAGUCUGAACCAGCCAAGUAGCGUGAAGGAUGACUGCCCUAUGGGUUGUAAACUUCUUUUAUAUGGGAAUAAAACAUGUUAUGCAUACCCUCUUGUAUGUACCAUAUGAAUAAGGAUCGGCUAACUCCGUGCCAGCAGCCGCGGUAAUACGGAGGGUCCGAGCGUUAUCCGGAUUUACUGGGUUUAAAGGGAGCGUAGGUGGAUUGUUAAGUCAGUUGUGAAAGUUUGCGGCUCAACCGUAAAAUUGCAGUUGAAACUGGCAGGCUUGAGUACAGUAGAGGUGGGCAGAAUUCGUGGUGUAGCGGUGAAAUGCUUAGAUAUCACGAAGAACUCCGAUUGCGAAGGCAGCUCACUGGACUGAAACUGACGCUGAUGCUCGAAAGUGUGGGUAUCAAACAGGAUUAGAUACCCUUGUAGUC
rnacentral:rRNA from 1 species